rnacentral:rRNA from 1 species
AUGCAGUCGAGCGGGGUUUUCGGACCUAGCGGCGGACGGGUGAGUAAUGCGUAUGAAGCUACCCGAUAGAGGGGGAUACCAGUUGGAAACGACUGUUAAUACCGCAUAAUGUCUACGGACCAAAGUGUGGGACCUUCGGGCCACAUGCUAUCGGAUGCGCCUACGUGGGAUUAGCUAGUUGGUGGGGUAAUGGCUCACCAAGGCGACGAUCCCUAGCUGGUUUGAGAGGAUGAUCAGCCACACUGGAACUGAGACACGGUCCAGACUCCUACGGGAGGCAGCAGUGGGGAAUAUUGGACAAUGGGCGCAAGCCUGAUCUAGCCAUGCCGCGUGUGUGAAGAAGGCCUUCGGGUUGUAAAGCACUUUCAGCGAGGAGGAAGGGAGUUGUGUUAAUAGUACAGCUUCUUGACGUUACUCGCAGAAGAAGCACCGGCUAACUCUGUGCCAGCAGCCGCGGUAAUACAGAGGGUGCAAGCGUUAAUCGGAAUUACUGGGCGUAAAGCGCACGUAGGCGGUUUUUUAAGUCAGAUGUGAAAGCCCCGGGCUCAACCUGGGAAUUGCAUUUGAAACUGGAAAACUAGAGUGUGUGAG